UACAGAGGUCCCGAGCGUUUGUUCGGAUUCAUUGGGCGUAAAGGGUGCGUAGGCGGUCUGCUAAGUUUGAUGUGAAAUCCCGGGGCUCAACCCUGGAAUGGCAUUGAAUACUGGCGGACUAGAGUACCGGAGAGGAAACUGGAAUUUACGGUGUAGCGGUGAAAUGCGUAGAUAUCGUAAGGAAGACCAGUGGCGAAGGCGGGUCUCUGGACAGUUCCUGACGCUGAGGCACGAAGGUCAGGGGGAGCAAAACGGG
rnacentral:rRNA from 1 species